rnacentral:lncRNA from 1 species
CCUAAUUUUUAUCACAUAUAUACCCCUUUUAUCCUAUCUAAAGAAUAUUGCAAGUAAAACAAACUAAACACAACAAGGUUUGUAGUGACUAGACACAUCUUUAAACAAGGUUAAUCAAGAUUGAAUGUGCACUAGCAGUCUGUCUUCGUCAUCACUCGAGUCAGGUGGCACCCUAGUCUUGAUUGGUUUAAGCUUCAGGCCCAUACUUUCAGGAGAGAGGAGCUCUGCCGAAAUGCAUGACGGGCUAAGUGGGCUUCUCGGACUGCCGUUCGGCUGGUACGGCCUGUACAGGCCGUACGCCAUGAGGAAGUACUCCAUUGGUAUCAACAUUGCAUGUGGCUGCUCCUCUGUGACCAAUGAUCCGCAUGCUUGGACCUGUAAAAAUAUUGUCAGAUGUGAAGCUAAAUUUUCCUUCAGAGAAGAAUCUCGACUUAUGGAAUUUUUUUCAAUGAAAAAUCUGUGAUUACUUCUACUGAAACAACGAAGAGAAUCAUGUGAAGCAGACAAACAUUUAAGGUAUCAUACCUCAACCAAGGCACAAUAUCUUCGGUCCAGUUUUGCAGUCAUGUGGAGAGCUUCUGUAUGGAAAGGAGAUUGAUCCCCCACAAAGAUUAGCGUUCGGCAUUUUAAUGUCUUUAGGCCUUCGGUAAUGUCAGGUCUCCUAAUGAUAAAUACAUGGAAGUUUAGAUACUAUGCAGUCAAAAGAAAUGAUUCUUUAGGCAAUACUGAUUACUACUGCAUGUCUUGCUGUAAUACACAAACAGAUCUUUUUAUUCGAAUUACCUAUUUAUUGCUUGGAGAAACCGCAAAACAUUUGUGCCCUGCUUCUCAUCCAGUAACUGCAACAAAGAACAAUAAAUUCAAACUUAAGAAGCCAAACACUGCAGAACAAAUAGAUUUAGUAACAUCUUGCCAAAGCAGGAAAUUGCAUCCUUUCCUAUAACAUGGCACAGUAAUAAAAUGCAGGGUAGAAUGGCCUAAAUAUUGAGAUUUCUAAGAUUUUUUCCAUUCAAAACUGGUAUCGUGCAAGUACACACUACAAUCAAAUUAUUUAGAUAAGAUAAUAAAUGUCUAGUACACUCAUAUGCAUGACAAAGAAAGGUGUACUGAAAGACCUAAGGUAUUAACCUUUCUGCAUGCUUGAACAAUAUCUGAUUCUGGGAAUUCUGGGCUGCCACGAACUUCCUGAUAGGAUUCAUGAAGUCUCGUUAUUCAAACCAACAGGUAACAAGAAUUAUCAAAUUAAUCAUAUAUAAUGAAUACUAUUGCUAAAGUUUUAUUUCACCUCACUGAAGUAUCGGUAGAGUAAACACUGCUUCAGUAAAUGACACAUCCCAUAGAAAUAUAGCAAAUUUGACAUUACCUGCACUCAUAAAUAAAAAUAAGGUUCGUAAACUGUUCUGUUGGUACCUUAAUUAGAGCAGGAAGUGUAACAAUGUCAUAUUAAUACCUUGUUACACAACCAUUCAGUCCAUGAGGGUGCUUUACAUAGAGGAGAGAUGAGUAUCAGACCAAGAACUCGUUCCCUGUAUUUUAUCUGUAAUAUAAACCAAAAAAAAUCAACAAUCCUAAAAUUCGUUUGAGAAAGCAUGACAACUGAGAGUAGUACAGAUUGAUACAUACAGCAAACAGGGUGACGAUAUAAGCUCCCGCCAUUGCCCCCAGGAACAUCACUGCACCAAGCCUGAAAGGAGUGAUAUAUGAUUGGUUAAAAACAAUCAGCCCAGACACACACACACGCACACAUUAUAUACAAAUGAACACUUUCAGAAAAGAUCCUCUGUCGCAUCUUUUGCUUCCAAGAAAUUGGCCAACUAAUUAGUCCCCUGAUUAAAAAGAUAAUUCUUUCACACAUAAUUUGCUUCCCAGAGAGAGUCUCAAUUCUAAUGUAACAGAAUACAGUCAAACAAUAUCCUCAAUUACAGUACUACAGAAUAGCUAAAGUAAAAAACAAUCAUCACGGACAUAACUAGUAAAGUACAGCCUUGUUUUUAAUAUUGCUUUAACUAUUAAAACCAGUGCAUGAAAAUCUAGUCCACAUGGUAUAUGUUAUACAAAGUCUUAGUACCAGAUCUAUCACUCAAAGAGUUUACCUAAAAUAAUUAAGCACCUCAAGGAUUUGAUCCGUUAAAUCAUCAACAGAAGGCACAAUGGCAUCAGGACAAAUUGCUGCAGCUCCUAACUGCAAGAACUCUUAUAAGAAGCCAGAAUAUAAUUAAAAUUUGUAUAAUGGCACCUGUUGACAAAGAGAAAUACUCGCAAAACGUAAAGUAAUAUGAAAAUGAAAUAGAAAUUUAAUUGCAAAGUAGUUAUAAAGCAAAGAAUUCACAAACCUCGUGCCCGGGGGGACUGAUAUGGUAGAUGCAGAAAUUAUGAAGCAGCAGAGAUGCUGCUUCUGGACAAAAGAACAAACCUUGGAAGCAAGACAUAUCUGUUUAUUCAAGAAAGUAACGAUAAAAGCUUCAUUACGAUACAUAUAAUAACAAAUAACACGAAUACAAAACCGUGAUAUGAUGAAAGAAGAAAAAUGAAGCUUACGAUUUAAAGCCAAAUCAGGAUAGGUAAGCAAAGCUGGUUUAUCUGGGUCCCCAUAAACAAUAACAGAGACAGGACCACAGCGGGUCUUGACAAUAUGUUCCUAAACGAAAUUAACAAGCUGUCAAACUGCUUAGAUAAAUAUAAGGAAGCAUAUAUAGGGGAAUCAACACCAGAAACAUGAAAAAAAAAUUGAGGUUUUACUUUAGACUGUCCACUUCAAAUAAUUGAUCCAAACAAUUUUUUAAAAAUGCAAAUUAAUGAUCAUUUUCUUUAUUAAUGAACAUUAAGCUAACAUAAAUCUCAGUUAAAAAAAUUAUUCUUUAAAAAAUCAUACAUGUGCACAGUCCCCUUUCUAAGCCAGCUUACUUCAAGAAUUAACUAAAGUUUGCUAUUGAAUAAAUGGCUUCUAAUACUUGCUGGGUGACUACUGACUACACACCAGAUAAGAUUUUCUACUUCAAUCAACAUAAUGAUGAUGACACCCAACCAAUAAGAGACAAGUAAUACACUUUUUCAAGGGAAAGCAACAGUUAGCUAUGUCAAAAAGUGACAGUUGUUACAAAAAAAUCAUCUGAUGACUGUAUUUUUCUACCAAUUAAGAUAAGAACUCAAAAUUAAUAACAAAUGAGAAACACGGCACAUAGAUCGAUACAAACGCAAAAUUGUAAUUAGAAGAAGUGUCUUAAGCUAUGUUUGUUCAGGGGAUAAAUAUUUCAAAUUAUUGGUUUGCAGUACUUGCUGUAAAUUGCUAAAUUUAUAUCUAAAGCUAUAUCACCAGUUGAAUCUCAAUCAAUCAUCUCACCAUUUUAAUGGCUUAAUAAACACCUGGGGAGAUAGCAGGAUUACCGAGGCCCUUAAAAUGAACUAGAAAGUGACUGAUAUAGAGGAUAAGAACAACAAAAUUAGCAAGUAUAAAAUCCCAUUGAAUUUGUUUUGAAAUCAUACCAUCAGUUUUAUAAAAAAGGAUCAUAACACCUAAUUGACACAAACACUAUCCAAAAUUGUUACCUCCAACAAUAAUUAAUGCAAACAAGCAAGACCUUGGUGUUGCUAUGAUCAAGUUCACUCCAAUUGUGGGCAUCAAUCAUUUAAUUCGGGGAAAGCAAAAAUCUUAACUGUUGUAAUUAAACUACACUCAGCUAAACUAACACAAACAGACACACAGUAACUCAUCAAAUAGACAAGGCUCAUAAAUAUGCAAGUCAAGAAACCCAAACACAAGAACCAAAGAUACCAAAAUUAACAAGAAUUCGAUAAAUGAAAAGUGAAAGAUCUACAAUUUCAAGAAUUACACAAACCCCACUUAAAAAGAUUGCACUUUGAUCCACCCCAAGAAUCCAAAACCAAAAAAAAAAAAAAAAAAAUUCACAACAAAAGAAACCCCAUUCUGCAGUUGGGUAUGUAUUAUAUCCAAGAACACACCUUCGACUAAAAAAAUAAAAUAUUUUCAGAUGAUUUAUAUAUAUAAUACCUUUCCACCAAGAAGAAUAGUGUUCAUAUCAACAAGAACCGAACCACUUGACUCAGCCAUGCUUGUCAGCUCUCUUCUAUCUCUCUCUCCUCUCUCUGUUUAGAAGAUUUGAGUUUGGGUGGCUUAGAGGAAGGGGUUGCUUUGUUCUGGCUUGCUUUCUCUCUCUAGAAUUUAUAUUUAGUGAGAGAGAUAUACAGUUGUGUCUGGUCAAGAAAUUGGUAAAGCCAGUUUGUCAUAGCUGACCAUGGUCAAAUAUUUUAACCAUGGUUAACCGCCGACAGCUUGGCCGUUGUUUUCUCGUAUUCUUGUAGAUACGGUGUCGUUCUGGUUGAAAUUUGUUAGACAGAUUUAAAAUUCCGCUAGAUAGAGCCAUAGAGGAGUGAUGUUGCUAUAAAACUUGUUAAUGAUAUUUGAUUUCUAAUUUUGUAUUUUAUUUGAUGCCUCUUUUCUUUACCUCAGGGAAUUCACCCGCAUUUAAAAGUAGUUUUACUGAUUAAUUUAAUUCACUUUUGAAUAAAAAUAUAAUAUUUACAUAUUCAUUUAGAAAUAUAAAAUAUUAGGCAAAUUAUAAAAUUAUAUAAUAUUGGUCAAACAGGGAAAAAGAAGUAAAAUGAAAUGCAGGGAGGACUGUGAAAAAUAUAUUUUAAUGUUGAAUCGUAAUCAUAUCUAUGUUAUACUAUUAAAAUCGAGAUAUUAAAAGUUUGGUCGUCGAUACUUAGGCAGAAUUAUGGGCCACUUAUAUAAUUGAUUAUUUUUUUUAACUAAAAUUAUUUUAUUUUUAUAUAUUUCUUGACUAAAAAAACUUAAUUUUUUAAAAAUAACAUUGGAUAACAUAGCAACUACUAAAAAACUGAUUUUCUAAAAUAACACAGACAACAUACAUAUAAAAAAGUAAAGAUAAUAUUAUUAUAUAUAUGUAUUAACAUAAAAUUUAAUGUACGUUCAACUAAAUACAGAAAUUUUAUUUUUAAUUACUCCAUGUUAUUUUAAAUGUAAUUAUAUCAUAAAUAUAUACUAUUUGUUUAUAUUAUACUAUACUAUAUUAUUAUUGUUAUUAUUAUCUUAUUAGAACUGAUAUAUUAGUAAUUUUAUUGGGUCAGUAUUACUGAUUUAUUUUUAAUUAAAAAAUAUAGACAAUAAAAUUAAAAAUAUUAUAAAUCACUCGUGCAUAGCACUGUUUAUAAGCUAGUUUUAAUUACGAUAUAGGAUCGAUGUGAGGAACAGUAUUGUAUUAAUAAGGUUAAUAUUAAAUUGGCCACCUUUUGGGACAAAAUAUCUUGUUUGACCCACUUAUUUUAUGGGGGACUUAUUUAAGCUAUUAUAAAUCAGUUAUAUAUCAUUUCACCCACUUUAUUAUUCAUACCUCUUUACUUAAUUCUUUAUCAGAAAUAAACUGUUUGUUAUGUUACUAUAACAUCACUUCGAGUAUUUUCAUAAUUGUUUCUAAUAUUUAUCAAAAUGAAUUGGGGAUUUCUGAAGCAGCAUAACUAGGGUGAUCACAUAAAUAUAUAUAUAUCUAUAGCUUUUUUUUUUAACGAUGUAGCUAUGUUUCUAGGAAUUUCAAAAUUAUUAUGAUAAAUAUCAGAGACACAUAUUAAAGUACCGAAGUGGUUUUGUAGUAAAAAAACAAACUAUUGAUUUUUGAUAAAUGAUUAAAUAAAAAUAGGUAUGAAUAGUUAUGUGGCUAAAAUGAUAUAUAUAUAUAUAUAGGGGUUUGUUCAAAUACAAACCAACUUUAUCAUAAAAACCUAAAAACCAAUUUCAAAACUAAACAAAUAUCCCCCCAAACUCUUAAAAACUAACAAUAUCACCCCCCUAGCUUUGCCAUCAACUUCCCCAAACUUACACUUUCCACCUCGCCACGUCACCGCAGGGGUCCCCCACUGCUGACGUGGCACUGCCACGUCAGCACUGGGUCACACCCACUGCUGACGUGGCAGAUGAUGUCAGCAGUGGACCCCCCCCACAUAUAUAUAUAUAUAUAUAUAUAUAUAUAUAUAUGGUUUAUAGUGGCUUAAAUGAGUCCCUGAUAACAUGAGUGGGUCAAGUGAGAUAUUCUGACGCAACGGGGUGAUCAGUUUGAUAUAAACCCUAUAUUAAUAUAACGAUCCUAUUUAGGAAUUAACUGUUAGGUUUGAAUUAAUUGUUUUCUAACUUAUUUAAUUAGCUGUUUUGACUAGAUAAUUCAAUUAGUUGUUUGUAUAAAAGCGUUUGGUAAAAUACUAUUAGCUGAUAGUUACUUAAAUAACACAAAAUGACUAAUAAAAACACUGAAAUAUAUUUAAAAUUAAAUAAUAAUCAUUCGUUUUGUUUAAUGCAGGAACAUUAAUAUCAACUUUAACGUUUUAAGUGAAACUUAAUUUUUAAAAAAAUGUUUAAUCUGUUAAAAAAAUAUUAUAUUCAUAAUCGCCGGAUAUUCAUCCAACAACUGGAAAUGACAAAUCUUCCGUAACACACAUGCCAAGGACUACACCCAUUUCACAUUGUCUUCUAACUUUAGAUGAGAUUAGCUUCACAAGUCCUUUAGACCAAAACGUACGUGAAAAUUAGAUUAAUUAGAGUAUCUUCGGCACUGAUAAAUCAGGAGGCUAUCUAAAUAUAUGAUACAUAAUUCAAGUUUUAAAAAGUGAGGAUUUAAUAUUGAUUCACAACUUUAACAAUAAUCACUACCUAUGUUGCCUAUUAUUAAAGUCAAAAUCUUUUAACAAAAUGAUAAAAUAUGAGAAAAAGUAUACAAAAGGUGAGGUUUGAAUACUUAAUUAUUAAAAAACAAAUGAAGGGUGGGAUAAGCAUGAAAAAUGAAUACUUAAUAUUUAAAGAAUGAACAGAAUUCUCCUGCAAUGAGGCUUUUAGAGCACCGGCAGAUUAGUUAAAUGAGGUCCUAAGCUAUAAUUUUGAGUAAUAUGUAUAAAAACUCACAUCAACAGACUGCUCAUUCCCUAAAAAUUUUCCAUUCCUCAUAAAUAAUGCAUAACACAUUCCUCAUUUGAUUUUUAAUGAUUAGAUAUUCAACCCUCACCUUUUGAACACUUUUUCUCGAAAGAAUUUGAAUUUAAUAUUAUAAUAAUAAUAGAGAACACAAAUAGAGAUUAGUGUUGGAGUUGUCAAUCAAUAUAAAAUCCCUAUUUUUUAGAAAUUGAAUUGUGUGUUGAAGUUGUCAAUCAAUAUAAAAUCCCUAUUUUUUAGAAAUUGAAUAUAAAAUCCCUAUUUUUUAGAAAUUGAAUUGUUUAUCGUAUAUUUAGAAACCUCCCUAGACACUUCCAGAGAUGCUCUACAUAUUCCUUAAAAUUAUAAUAUAUAACUAAUAUGUUGGAGAUGCUUGGCAUCAAGCACUUUAUAUGAUUGUUAAAGAAUCAAAAGAACGAAACAACUGUAAUCUGCCUUAUGUCUCAAGUAACAAAAGAAUGUCCUGUCCCCUACCUAUUUUUUUAUCACAUAUUUACCCCUUUUAUCCUAUUUAAAGAAUAUUGCAUGUAAAACAAACUAAAUACAACAAGGUCUGUAGUAACUACAAACAGCUUUAAACAAGGUUAAUCAAGAUUGAAUGUGCACUAGCAGUCUGUCUUCAUCAUCACUUGAGUCAGGUGGCACCCUAGUCUUGAUUGGUUUAAGCUUCAAGCCCAUACUUUCAGGAGAGAGGAGCUCUGCAGAAAUGCAUGACGGGCUAAGUGGGCUCCUCGGGCUGCCGUUCAGCUGGUAAGGCCUGUACAGGCCGUAUGCCAUGAGGAAGU